rnacentral:rRNA from 1 species
AUUCGUCGACAACAGAGUUUGAUCCUGGCUCAGGACGAACGCUGGCGGCGUGCUUAACACAUGCAAGUCGAACGCUGAAGCCCCUAGCUUGCUAGGGGUGGAUGAGUGGCGAACGGGUGAGUAAUACGUGAGUGACCUGCCCUUGACUCUGGGAUAAGCCUGAGAAACUGGGUCUAAUACUGGAUACGACAGUACAUCGCAUGGUGUAUUGUGGAAAGGGUUUGUACUGGUUUUGGAUGGGCUCACGGCCUAUCAGCUUGUUGGUGGGGUAAUGGCUCACCAAGGCGACGACGGGUAGCCGGCCUGAGAGGGUGACCGGCCACACUGGGACUGAGACACGGCCCAGACUCCUACGGGAGGCAGCAGUGGGGAAUAUUGCACAAUGGGCGCAAGCCUGAUGCAGCGACGCCGCGUGAGGGAUGACGGCCUUCGGGUUGUAAACCUCUUUCAGCAGGGAAGAAGCGAAAGUGACGGUACCUGCAGAAGAAGCGCCGGCUAACUACGUGCCAGCAGCCGCGGUAAUACGUAGGGCGCAAGCGUUGUCCGGAAUUAUUGGGCGUAAAGAGCUCGUAGGCGGUUUGUCGCGUCUGCUGUGAAAGCCCGGGGCUUAACCCCGGGUCUGCAGUGGGUACGGGCAGACUAGAGUGCAGUAGGGGAGACUGGAAUUCCUGGUGUAGCGGUGAAAUGCGCAGAU